UCGCUGCCUAGUGCGCAUUCGCCGACCGCCGAUCGAUGGCAGUUUAGAACUGGUCUCUGUUCCGGAGCGCGUAUAAUGUGUAUGCUAAUUUUCGUAGUUUCACCUGUUCUACAGCUGGAUGAGUGUCGCGCUAGACUAGUACCGUUUGCGGCGGAUAGUCGUGUAAUACCGGCUUUACUGUAUAGCUUCCUACCAGAGUUUAUGCGGACUUUGCAAAUGUAAGCAUUGAUGGUGUUUUUCUUCAACACUGCUUUUAACAUCGUCUGGACUGUAUGUACGUAUGCAGAGAAACGGGCUGGCGAUCAGACGCGGUAAUGAGGUACGAGAAAGGGGACAGAACUGGAUAUGGCACUGAGAGCGAACCUGAUGUUGAGACAAAGCCGGAUGCUGUACCCCAGUGAUGAGCCCUUAUGUGAUCCAGGUGUAAGUGUUUGUGAUCGGCACCCAUUUACUUCGUCUGUGAAAGUAGUUGGAAACCCCCAAUUUGUUGUAAGAACAAUGUUAAAUUUAGAGAUGACCCCCACAUCACUGUGAAAGGUGUAGGAAAGGACACCAUUCGUAGUGCCCGAGUUAUAUUUCAGUGAACUUAAGCGACGAAAUAAAUUACUGUUUUUGGUUAAAUAUUAUGUGUAAAAUGUAAAAGUUUGAUUAGAAAAGAGGUUGUUGUUUCAAGAACUUAUGUAAAUUUUCCCUUUUAUGAAUGUUUUGAAAAUUUAAAUUGAGAUAAAAUGUUGUAGCAUUGGAGUGUGGGAGAAAAGAGUUGAAAAUUUUUUGUAUAAGAAUUUACUGUAUGCCAUCAAGCCCUAGCCAUUGUUUAGUUGAUGUAACUGUAUAUAAUAUUGUAACAUAAUCUUAGAUAUGACAGUGUCAGUGUAGCUAUUGAAAUCUUUCUUAAAUAACAUUUAUGGAAAUAAGAACCGUAAAAUAUACUCAAGAGAAAUUUUGGGUUCUUAGGGGGUGUGUAACAUCACAAGUCGAUACGCAAUAGCAUUUUAUUGCAGUAAGCUACUUUGCAGUCUGGUUCGUAGCAUUGGAGCCUUUGGUGGUGACAGAAACAGCCACUUGCAUCUUAGAGUGACUCAUUCACACCUGUCACUAGCCUAGCUGUGGGAAGCUAGCCCCUAAGAAUCUAAAUAAACUAUAUUACAUAUUAUUUAAGUUAGUUUAAAUUCAAUAUACUGCCUUCUGUUAUUAAAAAGAAGAUUGUGUAAAAAUCUCAGCUUUCUAGCUGGCAUACUUUGAGUUAGAGAAAAUUACCUAAAACACCCCAUACUAACACUUGUAAGAUUAAAGUCAGUUAGGAUUCAUAACAGUUCGUCUUUUAGUAUCAUUUGGAAUCAUUACUGAAGUCCACAAAAUGUUUGGUCAAUUAGUUUGAAUUUUCCUAAUUAAAAAUGUUAACUAUUUUUCAUUUUCGUAAUAUAAAAGUCAGAAAAGAUCAGUAUUUAUUUAAUGUGUUGUUGUGUGAGUAAAUGAGAAUGAGUGAGUGUGUAUGUGGGACAUAUGAAAAAAUUCAGUAUUAUGUCAUGUUAAACAUUACGUAACUAUGUCGUGGGAAAGUGUUAAGCAAGCAAGUUGCAAUGAAAAAUGUAAUUUCCCCACCGUGCUGAUGACGUAUGUCAAAGAGUAUAUUUCAUACCUGUUUAUGGAAUAGUUGGCGAGCAAUUUCUUUAUUAGAAAUCCACUGUAUAUUGUUGCAGAGUAAUGGCUGUAAAUCGCAUAACAACUCGGGUCGGACAUGAGUACAUUCCUGGCUGCCUUGUGUGUAUAUUGGGUUGUAUGAACUGUGUGCUGAGGACAGUGAUGUUAUUCAUUAAUUAAAUACGGGCUGUUGGCAAGUGCUUAAUUUUGAACCUAAAGAAAUAAAAGCACUCAUUGCAGAA